rnacentral:lncRNA from 1 species
GGCUCAAGUCUUCCCAAAUGCUAUAUGGAAGCUUAUCUCGUAUCCUUAUCAAGGUUGAUGAAUCAACGUCAAUAUAAUGUGGGCCACCUGGCAUUAUCUUGGCUCCCGGCCAGUUCUUCAUCCUAUAUAAAGAGCCACCAGCUCCUUCCCUCAAAGCAUCCCUGUGAGAGUCAAGCUUUGCAACGCUGCAGUGACCGAAUCCAACCGUCCAACCAUGAGGUUCCUCUAUCUUCUCUUUGCAGUGGCCCUCUUUUGCAGUAUCCAAGCUGUCACCUCAGUCCGCCUUGGCUCCGAUGGAUGCAUACAGAAGGAAGGCAAAUGCUACUUCACUUCCUGUCCUCGUGGGACUACGAGCAUCGGACGCUGCGACGCAGUAUAUCGCUGCUGCAAAUGACAAAGCAAAUGAGGCAGAGGCUUGUUCAUCAUUCUUUCCCUGGCGCAAGAAACAUGAAAACUCUCGUAAUCUGGAAUUGGAAGGAUGUCCCAUGUCUUGAGUGCGGAUUCUUCCUGGAUGACCUGCUCCUUUCCCCCCCCCACAAUAAUAAUCACUCGUAAUUAAAACAUAAACAUGCUGUGCAGAAUGUCUUUCAGCC